rnacentral:tRNA from 1 species
AGGCGCGUAGCUCAGUGGGAGAGCAUUUGCUUGACGUGCAAAGGGUCGGCGGUUCAAUCCCGCCCGCGCCUACCA